GGAUUAGAUACCCUGGUAGUCCAUGCCGUAAACGAUGUGUGUUAGACGUUGGAAAUUUAUUUUCAGUGUCGCAGCGAAAGCAAUAAACACACCGCCUGGGGAGUACGACCGCAAGGUUAAAACUCAAAUGAAUUGACGGGGACCCGCACAAGCAGUGGAGCAUGUGGUUUAAUUCGAAGAUACGCGCAGAACCUUACCAACACUUGACAUGUUCGUCGCGAAACCGAGAGAUUGGUUUCUUCAUUUAGUUGGACGAAACACAGGUGCUGCAUGGCGGUCGUCAGCUCGUGUCG
rnacentral:rRNA from 1 species